GAGUAGCUCAGUCAGUAGAGCAUGAGACUCUUAAUCUCAGGGUUGUGGGUUCAAGCCCCAUGUUGGGCA